AUUGAACGCUGGCGGCAGGCCUAACACAUGCAAGUCGAGCGAGCGGCGGACGGGGGAGAAAUGUAUGUGGACUGUGCGAGAGAGGGGGAUAACUACUGGAAAAGGUAGAGAAUACCGCAUACUAUCGGAGAGUCCAUAUGGGAUUAGCUAGUGGGUGGGGUAAUGGCUCACCUAGGCGACGAUCCCUAGCGGGUCUGAGAGGAUGAUCAGCCACACUGGGACUGAGACACGGCCCAGACUCCUACGGAGGCAGCAGUGGGGAAUAUUGCACAAUGGGCGCAAGCCUGAUGCAGCCAUGCCGCGUGUAUGAAGAAGGCCCUAGGGUUGUAAAGUACUUUCAGUCGGGAGGCGUUACCGACAGAAGAAGCACCGGCUAACUCCGUGCCAGCAGCCGCGGUAAUAC
rnacentral:rRNA from 1 species